rnacentral:rRNA from 1 species
GAUGAACGCUGGCGGCGUGCCUAAUACAUGCAAGUCGAGCGAACGGACGAGAAGCUUGCUUUUCUGAUGUUAGCGGCGGACGGGUGAGUAACACGUGGAUAACCUACCUAUAAGACUGGGAUAACUUCGGGAAACCGGAGCUAAUACCGGAUAAUAUUUUGAACCGCAUGGUUCAAAAGUGAAAGACGGUCUUGCUGUCACUUAUAGAUGGAUCCGCGCUGCAUUAGCUAGUUGGUAAGGUAACGGCUUACCAAGGCAACGAUGCAUAGCCGACCUGAGAGGGUGAUCGGACACACUGGAACUGAGACACGGGCCAGACUCCUACGGGAGGCAGCAGUAGGGAAUCUUCCGCAAUGGGCGAAAGCCUGACGGAGCAACGCCGCGUGAGUGAUGAAGGUAUUCGGAUCGUAAAACUCUGUUAUUAGGGAAGAACAUAUGUGUAAGUAACUGUGCACAUCUUGACGGUACCUAAUCAGAAAGCCACGGCUAACUACGUG